rnacentral:rRNA from 1 species
GACGUAGGGCGCGAGCGUUAAUCGGAAUUACUGGGCGUAAAGCGUGCGUAGACGGCUAUCUAAGUCGGGUGUGAAAGCCCCGGGCUCAACCUGGGAAUUGCAUUCGAGACUGAAUAGCUAGGGUGCGGUAGAGGGAAGCGGAAUUUCCGGUGUAGCGGUGAAAUGCGUAGAUAUCGGAAGGAACAUCAGUGGCGAAAGCGGCUUCCUGGACCAGCACCGACGUUCAGGCACGAAAGCGUGGGGAGCAAACAGG